rnacentral:rRNA from 1 species
GAUGAACGCUGGCGGCGUGCCUAAUACAUGCAAGUCGAGCGAACAGACGAGGAGCUUGCUCCUCUGACGUUAGCGGCGGACGGGUGAGUAACACGUGGAUAACCUACCUAUAAGACUGGGAUAACUUCGGGAAACCGGAGCUAAUACCGGAUAAUAUAUUGAACCGCAUGGUUCAAUAGUGAAAGACGGUUUUGCUGUCACUUAUAGAUGGAUCCGCGCCGCAUUAGCUAGUUGGUAAGGUAACGGCUUACCAAGGCAACGAUGCGUAGCCGACCUGAGAGGGUGAUCGGCCACACUGGAACUGAGACACGGUCCAGACUCCUACGGGAGGCAGCAGUAGGGAAUCUUCCGCAAUGGGCGAAAGCCUGACGGAGCAACGCCGCGUGAGUGAUGAAGGUCUUCGGAUCGUAAAACUCUGUUAUUAGGGAAGAACAAAUGUGUAAGUAGCUAUGCACGUCUUGACGGUACCUAAUCAGAAAGCCACGGCUAACUACGU